GCUGGGCGUGGUGGCUCAUGCCUGUAAUUCCAGCACUUCGGGAGGCUGAGAUGGGAGGAUUGCUUGAGCCCAGCAGUUCGAGGCUGCAGUGAGACUUGAUAAUGCCACUGCACUCCAGCCUGGGUGACAGAGUGAGACCCCAUCUCUU
rfam:Macaca mulatta chromosome 19, whole genome shotgun sequence.